GCCGAAAUAGCUCAGUGGGGAGAGCGUUAGACUGAAGAUCUAGAGGUCCCUGGUUCGAGCCCGGGUUUCGGCA